rnacentral:misc_RNA from 1 species
UACGUAGGUGGCAAGCGUUGUCCGGAAUCAUUGGGUUUAAAGGGUCCGUAGGCGGGACCGUAAGUCAGUGGUGAAAGUCUGCAGCUCAACUGUAGAAUUGCCAUUGAUACUGUUAACCUUGAGUAAUUAUGAAGUGGUUAGAAUAUGUAGUGUAGCGGUGAAAUGCAUAGAUAUUACAUAGAAUACCGAUUGCGAUGGCAGAUCACUAAUAAUUUACUGACGCUGAGGGACGAAAGCGUAGGUAGCGAACAGG